rnacentral:rRNA from 1 species
UGGUCUGAGAGGAUGAUCAGCCACAUCGGGAGUGAGACACGGCCCGAACUCCUACGGGAGGCAGCAGUGGGGAAUAUUGGACAAUGGGCGAAAGCCUGAUCCAGCCAUGCCGCGUGUGUGAAGAAGGCCUUCGGGUUGUAAAGCACUUUCAGUGAGGAAGAAAGCCUUGAGGUUAAUACCCUCGAGGGAGGACAUCACUCACAGAAGAAGCACCGGCUAACUCCGUGCCAGCAGCCGCGGUAAUACGGAGGGUGCGAGCGUUAAUCGGAAUUACUGGGCGUAAAGCGCGCGUAGGCGGCUUGAUAAGCCGGUUGUGAAAGCCCCGGGCUCAACCUGGGAACGGCAUCCGGAACUGUCAGGCUAGAGUGCAGGAGAGGAAGGUAGAAUUCCCGGUGUAGCGGUGAAAUGCGUAGAGAUCGGGAGGAAUACCAGUGGCGAAGGCGGCCUUCUGGACUGACACUGACGCUGAGGUGCGAAAGCGUGGGUAGCAAACAGGAUUAGAUACCCUGGUAGUCCACGCCGUAAACGAUGUCGACUAGCCGUUGGGCUCCUUGAGAGCUUUGUGGCGCAGUUAACGCGAUAAGUCGACCGCCUGGGGAGUACGGCCGCAAGGUUAAAACUCAAAUGAACAGACGGGGGCCCGCACAAGCGGUGGAGCAUGUGGUUUAAUUCGAUGCAACGCGAAGAACCUUACCUACCCUUGACAUCGAGAGAACUUUCCAGAGAUGGAUUGGUGCCUUCGGGA